rnacentral:misc_RNA from 1 species
GAUGAAGAACGUAGCGAAAUGCGAUAAGUAAUGUGAAUUGCAGAAUUCAGUGAAUCAUCGAAUCUUUGAACGCACAUUGCGCCCGCCAGUAUUCUGGCGGGCAUGCCUGUUCGAGCGUCAUUACAACCCUCAGGCCCCCGGGCCUGGCGUUGGGGAUCGGCGGAAGCCCCCUGCGGGCACAACGCCGUCCCCCAAAUACAGUGGCGGUCCCGCCGCAGCUUCCAUUGCGUAGUAGCUAACACCUCGCAACUGGAGAGCGGCGCGGCCACGCCGUAAAACACCCAACUUCUGAAUGUUGACCUCGAAUCAGGUAGGAAUACCCCCUGAACUUAAGCAUAUCAAUAAGCGGAGGA